UACAGAGGGUGCGAGCGUUGUCCGGAAUCACUGGGCGUAAAGGGCGCGUAGGCGGCCUGAUAAGUAGGGGGUGAAAUCCUGUGGCUCAACUGCAGGGCUGCCUCCUAGACUGUCGGGCUUGAGCACGGUAGAGGCAGAUGGAAUUCCCGGUGUAGCGGUGGAAUGCGUAGAGAUCGGGAAGAACACCCGUGGCGAAAGCGGCUCUCUGGGACGGUACUGACGCUGAGACGCGAAAGCGUGGGGAGCGAACAGG
rnacentral:rRNA from 1 species